rnacentral:rRNA from 1 species
GGGGAGGGUCAUUGGAAACUGGGGAACUUGAGUGCAGAAGAGGAGAGUGGAAUUCCACGUGUAGCGGUGAAAUGCGUAGAGAUGUGGAGGAACACCAGUGGCGAAGGCGACUCUCUGGUCUGUAACUGACGCUGAGGAGCGAAAGCGUGGGGAGCGAACAGGAUUAGAUACCCUGGUAGUCCACGCCGUAACGAUGAGUGCUAAGUGUUAGGGGGUUUCCGCCCCUUAGUGCUGCAGCUAACGCAUUAAGCACUCCGCCUGGGGAGUACGGUCGCAAGACUGAAACUCAAGGAAUUGACGGGGGC